CCCGGCGUAGUAUAGUGGUUAUUACAUCUAGGGGUACCCUUUCGAGGGAUCUUUCGCUGACGUGGGUUCGAAUCUCGCCACCGGGA
rnacentral:tRNA from 1 species